rnacentral:rRNA from 1 species
AUUGAACGCUGGCGGCAUGCUUUACACAUGCAAGUCGAACGGCAGCACAGGGAGCUUGCUCCUGGGUGGCGAGUGGCGAACGGGUGAGUAAUGUAUCGGAACGUGCCUGGUAGUGGGGGAUAACUACUCGAAAGAGUGGCUAAUACCGCAUGAGAUCUUUGGAUGAAAGCGGGGGACCUUCGGGCCUCGUGCUACUGGAGCGGCCGAUAUCAGAUUAGGUUGUUGGUGGGGUAAAGGCCUACCAAGCCUGCGAUCUGUAGCUGGUCUGAGAGGACGACCAGCCACACUGGGACUGAGACACGGCCCAGACUCCUACGGGAGGCAGCAGUGGGGAAUUUUGGACAAUGGGCGCAAGCCUGAUCCAGCAAUGCCGCGUGCAGGACGAAGGCCUUCGGGUUGAAAACUGCUUUUGUACAGAACGAAAAGUCUCUGGCUAAUAUCUAGAGAUCAUGACGGUACUGUAAGAAUAAGCACCGGCUAACUACGUG